GGUUCUUAAAUUCUAUCCUAAAUUCCCUAUGUUCAACUAGAAAGAAAGACGCUGAGUUCGCUUCUAACCAGGUUGGUUGGCCUGGUUGCGGGGCAAUGAUGGAAGAGGUCGGUCUACUGUUGGAGAUUAUCUGGAGGCUUCGAUUUUUAUAGGAGUGGUGUGCGUUGGUCUUCUUCUUCUUCAGAUCGAACUCCAGCUUUCUCUCUGUUUCAGUCUCUUUCUCUUACUGAUCUUUGCUAGGGACUGGAAUGGAUAUGCAGGAUACAUCUCCUUCAGUGUUGCUAUUCUUUGACAAGCAAAGAUUUGUAUUUAAUGCUGGAAAGGGAUUGCAACGGUUAUGCACAGAGCAUAAGAUUAAGUUAUCAAAGGUAUAAGAUAUCUGAGAUCCUUACCCAUUAGGUAGUUAAGACCAAAAGUGGGGCUCUAUAUAUACGCCUGGUGGUUAGCGAGAGAGAGUGAGUGGUUUUAAAGGGUGUCAAUGGCCUUUGAAUUUUACUUAUAUAAGAUUAAAGUUAUGUGCUUUCAAGUAUUUGUGAGCUCUCUGUAUCUGGGUUUUGAGCAAAAUGACUUUAUUGAUAAAGCUUUGAUUCUGCUGACUGAUGCAGUUUUGCAUGUCCUUGGUUAAUGCAUUUUUGUUUGCUCUACACAGAUGAUAAAUUUUUAGGAGAAAUGGAGACUUAAAGAGAGAAGUUAUGGAUCUGAUAAGGGUUUAGGGUUUACUAUCUCUAAUUUUUGGAUCAUAAUGGAAUUUCUUUGAUUGCAUAUGCUGUUUCUCCAAAGCACCAAUGAAGAAGGCAUUUAGAUUUGAUGGGUUUGAUGUGAAUGAUUCAAUCGUCUCUCACCUCUCUGACGUAUAAGCAAUCACUUAAGCAAAGAAGCGAAGAUAACUUUCAGGAGAGCUUGGGUACAAAAUCCAAAUACAAGAAGCAGUCGUUCGCCCAAAUUGUUUAACCAUUCUUCGCUUUAAAAGUAUAAUUCAUGAUUGCCUCUCUAUUCCUUAUACUCUUACUAUUUUUUUGGUACUGAUUUCUUUAUUUUUGUAAUGUUUGUUUGCUCAUC